GCUCAACCGGGGAGGGUCAUUGGAAACUGGGGAACUUGAGUGCAGAAGAGGAGAGUGGAAUUCCACGUGUAGCGGUGAAAUGCGUAGAGAUGUGGAGGAACACCAGUGGCGAAGGCGACUCUCUGGUCUGUAACUGACGCUGAGGCGCGAAAGCGUGGGGAGCGAACAGGAUUAGAUACCCUGGUAGUCCACGCCGUAAACGAUGAGUGCUAAGUGUUAGAGGGUUUCCGCUCUUUAGUGCUGCAGCAAACGCAUUAAGCACUCCGCCUGGGGAGUACGGUCGCAAGACUGAAACUCAAAGGAAUUGACGGGGGCCCGCACAAGCGGUGGAGCAUGUGGUUUAAUUCGAAGCAACGCGAAGAACCUUACCAGGUCUUGACAUCCUCUGACAACCCUAGAGAUAGGGCUUCCCCUUCGGGGGCAGAGUGACAGGUGGUGCAUGGUUGUCGUCAGCUCGUGUCGUGAGAUGUUGGGUUAAGUCCCGCAACGAGCGCAACCCUUGAUCUUAGUUGCCAGCAUUCAGUUGGGCACUCUAAGGUGACUGCCGGUGACAAACCGGAGGAAGGUGGGGAUGAUGUCAAAUCAUCAUGCCCCUUAUGACCUGGGCUACACACGUGCUACAAUGGGCAGAACAAAG
rnacentral:rRNA from 1 species